AUGGAGCCAUUCAGUGCAGGAAGUGAGAUAAGAAGUUCUCUUCCUUUUUUUGGGUGGAAGAAUUAGUCCCCUCCAGUUUUCAACCACGUCUUCAUCUGUUGGAGGAAUGUUUGUGGUUUCAUCGGAUUCUACAGAAUGAACAAAUCCGCAUAUUUCCUUCAAUAAAGGAAAGAUGACGAGAAAUAAAGCGAUCAACUCGAAUGGGUAAGUUCUCGUGUUUAAAAAGACCAUGCUUUACAUUUUUGAAUUCUGCUUCAACAGUGGCUGAGCUUGCUGUGAGGUUGGUGCUUUUGAAGAGGGGGACCAUUACUCCUGUCCAAAGUGGCAGUCCCACUGACAGAUCAUCUUUAUGCAGUGUGCCACAUCAACCCUGAUAAAACAAGGAGGAAGUUUUGCAGACUGGUUCCCAAGUAGCAAAC